rnacentral:rRNA from 1 species
UACGGGGGGAGCAAGCGUUGUUCGGAUUUACUGGGCGUAAAGGGCGCGUAGGCGGCCACCGCAAGUCGACUGUGAAAUCUCCGGGCUUAACCCGGAAAGGUCAGCCGAUACUGCGGGGCUAGAGUGCAGAAGGGGCAACUGGAAUUCUCGGUGUAGCGGUGAAAUGCGUAGAUAUCGAGAGGAACACCUGCGGCGAAGGCGGGUUGCUGGGCUGACACGUGACGCUGAGGCACGAAAGCGUGGGGAGCAAACAGG